rnacentral:sRNA from 1 species
GCCAAGUGUGGUGGUGCAUGCCUGUAAUCCCAGCGGCUCUGGAGGCUGAGGCAGGAGGAUUGUGAGUUCAAAGACAGCCUCAGCAACUCAGGGAGGCCCUUAAGCAACUCAGUGAGACCCUGUCUCUA